AUUAAACGCUGGCGGCAUGCCUUACACAUGCAAGUCGAACGGCAGCACGGGGGCAACCCUGGUGGCGAGUGGCGAACGGGUGAGUAAAGCAUCGGAACGUGCCCUGGAGUGGGGGGAUAACGUAGCGAAAGUUACGCUAAUACCGCAUAUUCUGUGAGCAGGAAAGCAGGGGAUCGCAAGACCUUGCGCUCUGGGAGCGGCCGAUGUCGGAUUAGCUAGUUGGUGGGGUAAAGGCCUACCAAGGCGACGAUCCGUAGCGGGUCUGAGAGGAUGAUCCGCCACACUGGGACUGAGACACGGCCCAGACUCCUACGGGAGGCAGCAGUGGGGAAUUUUGGACAAUGGGCGAAAGCCUGAUCCAGCCAUGCCGCGUGAGUGAAGAAGGCCUCGGUUGUAAGACUCUUCGGUUCGGGGGUAAGGAAAGUUAGGACAUGGGUUAAGUACCCUGUGUAGAUGACGGUACC
rnacentral:rRNA from 1 species